UACAGAGGGGGCGAGCGUUGUUCGGAAUUACUGGGCGUAAAGGGCGUGUAGGCGGCCCGCUAAGUCGAACGUGAAAUCCCCAGGCUCAACCUGGGAACUGCGUCCGAUACUGGCAGGCUUGAAUCCGGGAGAGGGAUGUGGAAUUCCAGGUGUAGCGGUGAAAUGCGUAGAUAUCUGGAGGAACACCGGUGGCGAAGGCGGCAUCCUGGACCGGUAUUGACGCUGAGGCGCGAAAGCUAGGGGAGCAAACGGG
rnacentral:rRNA from 1 species